AAAAGAGGGAUAUGUGAUCCUAACACUUUCACAAAGGAGGUAGUGUUACUCCCAGAUCCUACAGCUGAAUUGGUUCCUCGACGGGGAAUGAAACAAUGGCUUUUUGAUAAUGGUCAUGUCAAGAACGCAGUGGAGUUUCAAAAAGACUGGGAUGCCAAGACCAUAGUGGAACAUCUCCAAAUGGUUUUUCAAGAUAAAAUUGAUUCCACCACGCAAUUUGAAAUUCUAAUGGGACUUCAUAAUAAAGUGGUAAAGCCUAACCUGGUUGCUGGCCAAACUCUGAGUGGAUUUUAAAUUCACAAAGUAUUUGCAUCUAAAGCCAUGUAUCUUAGACCAAACAAGAUGCUGCUUCAGAUGCCACAUGAUGACACAAACAAGAUCACAAAUGCAUAUGCCAGUGACCUUCAAGAUGAAUCACAGAAGCCUUUAAAUGACGAGUCACAUUGUGAAGUACACCAAACGGGUGAAGAACUGCACCAAGAGAUACCAACCCUUCAGCUGACAAACACUGAUGUUAUAUGCAGCACACCGUUCUCUGAUUUAGGGAAUUACGAAGUAGUCUGUUCUGUUUUACCACUUCAGUUGAUGACACAAACUCGGACACCUCCAAACCCACAUUCCAGCUGCACAGCCACUGCAGAAGAAAGUAAAUCCAGUGACCCAUAUCAGUACAUAUUGCUGUUUGCAGCAUUUAAAUAAAACUGUGCUUAAAUUGAAAAAGUAUUUUAAGGUGCUUCAAGUGAAAUUGUUGAAAAAUGUAUUUAACAAUGCAGAAGGUUAAAAUGAAGACCCUUCUGAUAAAUGUAGCAAAAAACAUGUCAGCAUAGCUACUAUAGAAAGAAACUUAUCAAAUCAAUUUCUGCUUCGUUUAAAAUUUUCUGCGCCAUAAUUCAUAAAAAUAGGUUAACUUGACCCAUGACUUGCUAUGAAAUUGCUAUGAUCAGAUGACUACUUCAUUGCCAGAAGAGCUAUUGCUGUGAGCCUUGUACAUGGUGGACCACCGCCCCGAUUUCUGGCAACUGAACUAUAUGAUGCACUAGUGAGAGGACCAGAAAAUGUGACCCGUGAUUUCCAGAAAAUUCCAGAUGAAGAUUUAAAGUCAAAACUG